UCUCCGUAGGUGAACCUGCGGAGGGAUCAUUAACACGUAUCCAAAACACGUUUAAACCAAACCCUCGCGCUCCUUAUUCCCUCCCAUUUAUAUAAAGUGUAUGAAAUAAGCCAUAGAUGGAUUCCUUUACGAGUUUAUUCUCUAAGGGACUACUUACUCAUAUUGUAUUGAUACUCUGAUAUCAUGCUUUAUAUAACAUGGCGUAUUAUUUUCCAAGCCAUCUGGUUAUUAAGCCAAACCGGUUCCGACCCGGAGCUUAGUAGCCUUAUUAAACCCCAUUUUUAACCCCUUUAUUUUACUAAAUACUGAUUUUACUCUUUCUUAUGCUGUAAUGGUGCAAGAAAAGUUAUACGAAACGCGAACAACUCUUAGCAAUGGAUAUCUUGGUUCUC
rnacentral:misc_RNA from 1 species